UAGAUACCCUGGUAGUCCACGCUGUAAACGAUGUGCGCUGGAUGUUGGGAAGCUUAGCUUUUCAGUGUCGUAGCUAACGCGAUAAGCGCACCGCCUGGGGAGUACGGCCGCAAGGCUGAAACUCAAAGGAAUUGACGGGGGCCCGCACAAGCGGUGGAGCAUGUGGUUUAAUUCGACGCAACGCGCAGAACCUUACCAGCUCUUGACAUCUGUCGAACUUCCGAGAGAUCGGUUGGUGCCCGCAAGGGAG
rnacentral:rRNA from 1 species